AUUAUUAUGUAUAUAACUCGUAUAUGUUUGAGGGAAUGGCUCAAACGUUUCUACCCGGAACCAAUACUUUCUGGACUACGAACUUAUUG
rnacentral:ncRNA from 1 species